rnacentral:snoRNA from 1 species
AUGACCUUACUUGAACAGGAUCUGUUCUAUAGGCUCGUACCGCUGCAUCCUUUACCAAUAAGGAGGCAAGCACUCAUGUCCGGUUGAUGCAUUCUAACCUCUGGGCCAGAGCGUGAUUAACGGCCUGGAUACACCUGAUGGGUGCCAUCCGACGGCUGUAGAGGAUCGUUCCCUGCCUAAAUUCACACUCUGGUGCAGGGUGGCUCAGAGGUUGUCUGACAGACU